GGGUCAGUAGGUUGGUCGUGCCACCGGUACGUACUGGUCUCACUGAUUCCUCCUUCCUGAAGAACCGUAAUGCCAUUAAUUUGGUGUUGCGGGGAAACAGGACUGUUACUUUGAAAAAAUUAGAGUAUUUAAAGCAAGCUAACGCUUGAAUACAUUAGCAUGGAAUAAUGGAAUAGGACGAUCGAUCCUAUUUUGUUGGUUUCUAGGAUUGACGUA
rnacentral:rRNA from 1 species